ACACCUUAGGCCCCGAGCCAACACUCCUGCUUGCUUUCUUCAUUCUGGGCUGCCUCUUCGUGAUACAUUUACAAGCGAAUCUCGCGGCGCCGGCUC